GCCGUUGCUGAACCGCGUCAAUUUCAACAGAGCAGAUCGAGCAGGGCAGGAAGUGAAAAAGCGGAAGGCGGGUCACUCCAGGCUGCUGCAGUCGUCGUCACUGUCGCUGCUAGUUGUAUCAUCCAGGAUGACCGGUGAAGCACUCGGAGGAGGAAGACUGAACUGCUGGGGACCUGGAAUGUAGAAGAUCAUCGUUAAGCGUACAAUUUGGUGACAUGGGUAAAGCUCCAUCAAACUGUAAAAGGUUCAGCACAUCCCUCUUGCUCCUCAAACGCUUC
rnacentral:lncRNA from 1 species